rnacentral:snRNA from 1 species
GGGAGUGAGGGAAAUCUGGCUGUGGUAUCUGUCACCCUAUUGAGCUCCAGGGUUGAUUCAGCUGAUCUGGCUAGCUAGGCGAGAGUCUCCUCCCUCCCUUACUGCUCCAUGUGUGUCCUUCCUGAAACUGUACACUCAGUGAAAGAGGGCAACUGUCCUCACUAGAAGAGAAUUGUUCUUCAGUCUAGGGUAUAUGAGUAACUGUGCUCCCCUCCUAGAAUCCCCAAACAACCCUGCAAGGUCUAUUUUCCUCUUUUUGAAAGCCAUAUUUAUUAUAAUGUGAUUGGGAACAGUGGCUCAUGCCUGUAAUCCCAGCACU